GUGACGAAGCGACGCCGCGUGCGGGAAGAAGGCCUUCGGGUUGUAAACCGCUGUCGGGAGUUAGGAAAUGCAAGGAUGUUAAUGGCGUUCUUGCUUGACUAAGGCUCCGGAGGAAGCCACGGCUAACUCUGUGCCAGCAGCCGCGGUAAUACAGAGGCGGCAAGCGUUGUUCGGAAUUAUUGGGCGUAAAGAGCACGUAGGCGGCUGUGUAAGUCGGUUGUGAAAGCCUUCCGCUUAACGGAAGAACGGCAUCCGAUACUGCAUAGCUUGAGUGCGGGAGGGGAGAGUGGAACUUCUGGUGGAGCGGUGAAAUGCGUAGAUAUCAGAAGGAACACCGGCGGCGAAGGCGACUCUCUGGUCCGUAACUGACGCUGAGUGUGCGAAAGCUAGGGGAGCAAACGGGAUUAGAUACCCCGGUAGUCCUAGCCGUAAACGAU
rnacentral:rRNA from 1 species